rnacentral:rRNA from 1 species
UACGGGGGGGGCAAGCGUUGUUCGGAAUUAUUGGGCUUAAAGGGCGCGUAGGCUUAUUGGAUAGUUAAUAGUUAAAUACAGAUGCUCAACAUCUGGACUGCUAUUAAUACUUCCAGUAUAGAGUUUGGAAUGGGUGAACAGAAUUUCGAGUGUAGAGGUGAAAUUCAUAGGUAUUCGAAGGAAUACCGGUAGCGAAGGCGGUUCACUGGUACAACACUGACGCUGAGGCGCGAAAGCGUGGGUAGCAAACAGG